AGCGGCGUGGUGUAAUGGCUAACACAUCAGUCGGGUCUACUGAAGAUGCUGAUUCGCUCCCAGCCGCCGAAU
rnacentral:tRNA from 1 species